GGUCGGUUAGCUCAGUGGAUUGAGCGCAGUGCUGAGAACACCGAGACCACGGGUUCGAUUCCCGUUCGGUCCC
rnacentral:tRNA from 1 species